rnacentral:lncRNA from 1 species
AAACUAACUUUCCAGUAUGCAAGCCCCCUUUUGGAUCUAACAUGAAAUAAUUACAGAUACAGUCAGGAUUAGUUGAAUAUAACAGUUCACUGUGUACCUUCCAAAUGUGUUAUGUAUUAAUAACCAUUAUGACAACAAGAAAAGGUCAUAACUGUAAUUUUACAUGUUUAUAAUUCUUAUACCUCUUCCAAGAUCAUCAGUUGUCUCCCACUGUGAAAUGAAAAAGGGGCUGGUUAAUUUAAUUGAACACUGGAGAGCCUUGUUCUGCCUUGCAGCCUGGACUACAAGCAAUUACAGCACCCUGAGUUCCAGCAUUGUUUGUUUCCAUGGGCGAUGCUGUGUUGUGCGAGCUGAACAGCAAUGAUUACAUUUCUUACCAAAAAUUAAACCUGAAAUUUUUUUUUUCUUUUUUUUUCAGAAAAACAUCAAACUGUUCAUGACCCAAAUCUCCUUGCAUCCCUUUAAGCCUGAGGCUUAAACCUGGAAAGAGGCAGAUUUAACCUAAGCUGUGCUCUGGUUCAGUACUGUUUGUUUAUACAUUAUCCUUCAGCUGAGACCAAGAGCCUCCUUGGAAAAUCCAGGCCUGAUUUUCCUGAGAAACACCCAGGUGUGGCAGACAUAAACCCACACCAAUCUGUGGAUUAUUGUCAGCUCUGAAAGCGCCUGUCCUGGCCAAACUCCUAAGUCACACACCACACCUGAGCAAAAAAUCUUGGAGACUAUCAGUCUAUUUAAGUGGCCUAAACCAAUAGCAUGUAUUUGGGUUUUACUCCUAACAAUCUCGUUAAAUUAUUACAAGCAUGAAAAUCGGAUGGAUGUUAGGCGACAACCUUAACAUCUCACUAAAAAUCGGGCUUCCCAGUCCCACCAACCCCUCUGUAGUAGCCUGCAGCCUCCCCUUUGCCUCUCCCCCAUCCCCAGCAGCACUUGGCUCCAUCCUGUCAGACGGGCUGUGCAGGGGACACCUUGCACCCAUGGAUGCGAUGUGGGAGUGGAGGACCCCUCGUGCUGCCUCUCGCCCAGACAACCCGCGAUGCCCACAGGAGGGUGCCGGAGCAACACCGCGGAUGGCGAUGUUUUGAUGACACGUUUCUCCGCUCUAUAGUUGAUAGGGCUGAAAAGACUUGCUGGUUUAGUCCUUUACUCGAAGUACAAUAGGAAAAAGUAAUUAAUAGCCUGACAGUUGUGUUUCACAAUAAACAAGCUGCUGGCAUAUUUUUUUUCCUGCUG